rnacentral:tRNA from 1 species
GAGGGUAUAACUCAGUGGUAGAGUGUGUGCCUAGUGUGCAAGGUCCUGGGUUCGAUCCCCAGUACCUCCA